rnacentral:lncRNA from 1 species
GAAGCCAUUUAAACAGGAUAAGGAUACAUAGGAGGGGUCGUUAUUGUUUAAUGAGUUCACAGUAGGCUGAUAGGAUGCAAUGGCCUUGAUCUCUGUUGAUUGAUGGUUGUGGCGGCGAAUGUGGACUGCUUCUCUUUGUUUGCUUUUUGUGAAGUCCUUGGACUUGUUGUUGGAGAGGAUUUGGGCGGUUCAUGUUGUGAUUAGGGCAGUUGCUGAUAUGGUCCGAAUGGCUGAUUUACUGUCAGAUUUGAUGGUUGAAGUUUUGUGCUCUUUGAUUCUGGUGUUGAUGGGGCGGGAUGUUUCACCUACAUAGGAUUGCCCCAUAUCAUCAGCCUUCAACCCCAAUAUUGACCCCGACUUCGCCAGAUCAACCCCCCUCAAUUCUCUAAGAAGGGACAACGGCAGAAACACAACUAAACGCCAAGAACCUAAAGGUGUAGUUCAUAAAAUUGAAUGUAACUGGACAGUCCUAUAUAGGGAAAACAUCCCGCCCUAUAACUGUUUGCAUUCAUCUAGCACCCCCACAUUUCUAAAAAGAAAACACGAAAAAAAGAUUCAAUAAUUGUAGCCUUUUCCUGUUCACAAAUCCUAAAGUGGACACUCAUACAUUAAUUCGACUAUGAAUUAAUUAGUCAUAGAAUAUUAAAUACACGUAACGCCACAUCAAAUUAGCGGUAUUAACUUAUACUUUGAAACUGAGAGUUAUCUCCCUUCCGUUAGUGCCGAUCGUUGCCAAGCUACCGAUAUCAGCAAAACGACGCCAUUUUAUGUUGCCGCAUCUGCUGUCUCUUUGUUCUCAAUCUAUAACCUGCCUUGGAUUUUGAGCUUCGCUUGAGUUUUUAAACAUGCAGUCAAGUAACUGUGUUCAAGUGAAGAAGAAACAGAAACCCUCCCAGCCGUCCUUCCUGAGAAGCACGAUGUCCCGUCCCGUGUCAUCCGAGUGGUCAAAAGCGCCUUCACCUCUAGCAAAAACGUUUAAUUAAAGCUUUCCUUGGAACAAGUUCCAGGAUAUUUUGUUGGGUUCAUGAACUUUUCAUCUUGUUAAUUAUUUCCAUAUGGUUUCAGUUGUAUAAAUAAAUGUUUUUGUUGUUCAAA